rnacentral:rRNA from 1 species
CCUACGGGUGGCAGCAGUUUUUAAUAUUUUUCCCUUUUCUCCCUCCUUCCCCCGCCCCGCCGCGUGCCGGAAGAAGGCUUUCGGGUUGUAAACUUCUUUUGUCAGGGACGAAGCAAGUGACGGUACCUGACGAAUAAGCCACGGCUAACUACGUGCCAGCAGCCGCGGUAAUACGUAGGUGGCAAGCGUUAUCCGGAUUUACUGGGUGUAAAGGGCGUGUAGGCGGGGAAGCAAGUCAGAUGUGAAAACCACGGGCUCAACCUGUGGCCUGCAUUUGAAACUGUUUUUCUUGAGUGCUGGAGAGGCAAUCGGAAUUCCGUGUGUAGCGGUGAAAUGCGUAGAUAUACGGAGGAACACCAGUGGCGAAGGCGGAUUGCUGGACAGUAACUGACGCUGAGGCGCGAAAGCGUGGGGAGCAAACAGGAUUAGAUACCCCGGUAGUC